GGAGAAAGCUUGCUUUCUUGCUGACGAGUGGCGGACGGGUGAGUAAUGCUUGGGAAUCUGGCUUAUGGAGGGGGAUAACGACGGGAAACUGUCGCUAAUACCGCGUAUUGUCGAAAGACGAAAGUGCGGGACUGAGAGGCCGCAUGCCAUAGGAUGAGCCCAAGUGGGAUUAGGUAGUUGGUGGGGUGAAGGCUUACCAAGCCUGCGAUCUCUAGCUGGUCUGAGAGGAUGACCAGCCACACUGGAACUGAGACACGGUCCAGACUCCUACGGGAGGCAGCAGUGGGGAAUAUUGCGCAAUGGGGGGAACCCUGACGCAGCCAUGCCGCGUGAAUGAAGAAGGCCUUCGGGUUGUAAAGUUCUUUCGGUAUUGAGGAAGGUUGAUGUGUUAAUAGCACAUCAAAUUGACGUUAAAUACAGAAGAAGCACCGGCUAACUCCGUGCCAGCAGCCGCGGUAAUACGGAGGGUGCGAGCGUUAAUCGGAAUAACUGGGCGUAAAGGGCACGCAGGCGGUUAUUUAAGUGAGGUGUGAAAGCCCCGGGCUUAACCUGGGAAUUGCAUUUCAGACUGGGUAACUAGAGUACUUUAGGGAGGGGUAGAAUUCCACGUGUAGCGGUGAAAUGCGUAGAGAUGUGGAGGAAUACCGAAGGCGAAGGCAGCCCCUUGGGAAUGUACUGACGCUCAUGUGCGAAAGCGUGGGGAGCAAACAGGAUUAGAUACCCUGGUAGUCCACGCUGUAAACGCUGUCGAUUUGGGGGUUGGGGUUUAACUCUGGC
rnacentral:rRNA from 1 species